rnacentral:lncRNA from 1 species
AUGAUUUGGGCGGUUGUUGACACGCGCCCUCACUUGCCACGCUGCCAAAAUCACUAAAAACCUUUCGCCACGCGUCUUCAUCAUGAGUGACCAUCAGAUUUCAACCAUACGAGAGAUAGGGGGAGAAGUGAGAUUCAGGAGAUGACGGUGAGGUAUGAGACAAGGGAGACGAGCGGUGUGGCUGGAAAGGGAUGACGAUGAUGAUGAUGGAGAUGGUUGACUCAGCUGCGAUAAGCUUUUCUCAGUGCUUAGCAGUAGUGGUGCUUGCUAUUUGUGGUCAUAUUCGUCUUCCGGUGGCCAGGGUUCUGCCAUGAAACAAUAGCGUCAACGGCAUGUUCUUUGUCUAAUCCGACACUUUUUAAAUCCUAUUGAAUUCAAUCCUCAUGAAAAGUUUCUUGAAUCGUUCAUGCUUCUAAAUCCUAUUCACCAUCGCGGGAGAGGUUCCGACAACACUCCGCGGAACUCCGGCAUGGGAGUCAUAUUGUUUCCGGUGACAUCCGACGUCAUCGGAAAUAAUGAGGAUGAGGCGCCGCCCAAUAAGGUGAAACCUUCCUAGAUCAUUGAUGAGUGCCUCCAUGAAGCAAUUGCUAAUAUAAGUAUAUAUGUCAUAUGACGUGAGGCCUCCAAAGUUGCAACACGUGCAUCUAAUAAAUAUUGGUUUAGGACCCAUAUGGGUCACUAUUAUGGCCACUUGUGAUAUAGUAGCAAAAUAGUGUGUUGGUCAACCUAGCACAACCUAACCCAACUCAUUUUGAGUUUUGAUUAGAACAAAUAACGUGAUUUGAAGACUUCUAGCAUUAUGCUUGAUCAGGUUUUCAAUGCAAAAAUAACUGAUUUUGGGCUGCCAAUACAUGGCCCAAUAUAUGAUGACACACAUUAUUAUAUACCAUGAUGGCUGGAUUUUAACAAGAUUGGCAUUGUUGCUUUUUAUUAGAUUUUUAUAGUAAUUUCUUGCAAGGGUAUUCAUUUACCUAAAUUAUAAUUUUGUUUCCCCUCUGGCAACAACCUGCGUCGUAAUAACAUGGCAAAAAACAUAUUGUGAAUAACGCGUCACGAUAACAAGGCAAAAAAGAUAUUGUAAAUCACGCAACGCGCGACAAUAAAUAGCACUAGUUGAUAUAAACUCACAAAUUUGUCUAAAUUAUAUAUUUUGUUGUUAAGUUGGAAAAAAUUGGAUUAAAAUAGAUUUAGCAUACAUUACAAUAUGUAAAUAUGGUCUUAGGUAUUUUAUAUUAUUAUUGUUGGAAGUGUGUCACACUAUUAAAUUAGUUAGAAAUAUUAAUUUAGUGUUUAGGUUAGAAUUACUAUAAGGAUCUAUUAGGUUAUACAAAAGCCAUAAAUCA